UUCCGUAGGUGAACCUGCGGAAGGAUCAUUACAGAGUUCUUGCCCUUCGGGGUAGAUCUCCCACCCUUGUGUAUUAUAACAGAUUGUUGCCUUGGCGGGCCGUAGCUUACUGCCCGGGAUCCGUCCCGGUGAGCCCGCCAGAGGAACCCUAAACUCUGAAUAUUAGUGUCGUCUGAGUACUAUAUAAUAGUUAAAACUUUCAACAACGGAUCUCUUGGUUCUGGCAUCGAUGAAGAACGCAGCGAAAUGCGAUAAGUAAUGUGAAUUGCAGAAUUCAGUGAAUCAUCGAAUCUUUGAACGCACAUUGCGCCCCUUGGUAUUCCGAGGGGCAUGCCUGUUCGAGCGUCAUUAUGACCAAUCUAGCCUGGCUAGGUCUUGGGCUCCACCGCUUGGUGGGCUUCAAAACUAGUGGCGGUGCCCUCAGGCUCUACGCGUAGUAACUUUUCUCGCUAUGGAGCCCUGGGGGAUACUUGCCAUCAACCUCAACUUUCUUAGGUUGACCUCGGAUCAGGUAGGGAUACCCGCUGAACUUAA
rnacentral:rRNA from 1 species